rnacentral:rRNA from 1 species
GUGGGGAAUAUUGGACAAUGGGCGCAAGCCUGAUCCAGCCAUGCCGCGUGAGUGAUGAAGGCCUUAGGGUUGUAAAGCUCUUUUGUCCGGGAAGAUAAUGACUGUACCGGAAGAAUAAGCCCCGGCUAACUUCGUGCCAGCAGCCGCGGUAAUACGAAGGGGGCUAGCGUUGCUCGGAAUCACUGGGCGUAAAGGGCGCGUAGGCGGACUCUUAAGUCGGGGGUGAAAGCCCAGGGCUCAACCCUGGAAUAGCCUUCGAUACUGAGAGUCUUGAGUUCGGAAGAGGUUAGUGGAAUUGCGAGUGUAGAGGUGAAAUUCGUAGAUAUUCGCAAGAACACCAGUGGCGAAGGCGGCCAACUGGUCCGAUACUGACGCUGAGGCGCGAAAGCGUGGGGAGCAAACAGGAUUAGAUACCCCGGUAGUCC